AAUAGCGGAGGAAAGGAAACCAACUGGGAUUACCUUAGUAACGGCGAGUGAAGCGGUAAAAGCUCAAAUUUGAAAUCUGGUACUUUCAGUGCCCGAGUUGUAAUUUGUAGAAUUUGUCUUUGAUUAGGUCCUUGUCUAUGUUCCUUGGAACAGGACGUCAUAGAGGGUGAGAAUCCCGUUUGGCGAGGAUACCUUUUCUCUGUAAGACUUUUUCGAAGAGUCGAGUUGUUUGGGAAUGCAGCUCAAAGUGGGUGGUAAAUUCCAUCUAAAGCUAAAUAUUGGCGAGAGACCGAUAGCGAACAAGUACAGUGAUGGAAAGAUGAAAAGAACUUUGAAAAGAGAGUGAAAAAGUACGUGAAAUUGUUGAAAGGGAAGGGCAUUUGAUCAGACAUGGUGUUUUUUGCAUGCACUCGCCUCUCGUGGGCUUGGGCCUCUCAAAAAUUUCACUGGGCCAACAUCAAUUCUGGCAGUAGGAUAAAUCAUUAAGAAUGUAGCUACCUCGGUAGUGUUAUAGCUUAUUGGAAUACUGCUAGCUGGGAUUGAGGACUGCGCUUCGGCAAGGAUGUUGGCAUAAUGGUUAAAUGCCGCCCGUCUUGACCACGGGACCC
rnacentral:rRNA from 1 species